rnacentral:rRNA from 1 species
GACAGAGGGUGCAAGCGUUGUUCGGAAUUACUGGGCGUAAAGCGUAUGUAGGCGGUGAGGUGUGUCUGGUGUGAAAUCCCUCGGCUUAACCGGGGAAUGGCAUUGGAAACUACCUUGCUGGAGUGCGGAAGAGGGCGGCGGAAUUCCCAGUGUAGAGGUGAAAUUCGUAGAUACUGGGAGGAACACCGGAGGCGAAGGCGGCCGCCUGGUCCGUAACUGACGCUGAGAUACGAAAGCGUGGGUAGCAAACAGG